ensembl:snoRNA
AGCACUUAUACAUGACUUUGUUGAACUGAUGGACAAAGAUUUAGACAGUUGCAAAAAUAAAUCCUCUUUUGUAACCCAGAGCUCACUGUUAAGUAAGCGUUUUGAUGCAUAUAGGGAAAAAUAUG